rnacentral:lncRNA from 1 species
UUGGUGAUUCUCCUGAUAUCGAGCUGGAAACUCUUCUAGUUCUGAAUAAAUUCUUGAUUGACUCAAGUAGUAAAGUUUCAAAUUCUUUGGCAAGCCACUUCUGUUUUGGCUUUUUUUUUUUUUCUUCAUCGCUCUGGUCAAUGCCUGUCUCUUCUGAAGUUCACACUCAGUCAAAGGGAUGAUCUUCCCAAUAUAGGAAGACUAUUCAAGUCACCGUUUCCUUACUAGAACCACCAUACUACUUCCAAGAAACCAUAACCAUCAUUGUUCCUGGAGGAAGCAGUCUUUUAUUUCUGCCUGUUCUGUUUUUACUUUCCUUGGCUUGAAUCUUGCUUUCCACAUAUUCAUCUCUAGCAUGAGCUAGCAGCAGUCUUGGGAUCUCCCAUGUCCAACCAGGUAUUCCUCAGGAGCCACUGAGGGGCUCCUGUGCAGAGUUUCAUAGCAGGAGUAACUUACCCUAAACCCAAGGUAGACAUCUAGUCUGCCUCCAAAGGAAACUCUUCCCUCUGCAGGACAAUGAUGUACAAUGAAAGUAUCUUUAUCUUCUAACAAACAACAUGGGACCCCCCUUCACAGAGUUCUGGACUGGGAAGACACUUUCCAUGUGUGUAUAGAAUUAGAAAGAUUUGGAGUCUUUCUCUACUAAUCUUUCUGUGUUAAUGAUUAUUGGAAAUACAUUUCCCUUUAAGGAAAAAUUGCUAAUUUUGUAAGAACUUUUUCUUAUAAGAGUAAAUAGAUACUAUUUAAGGAUAAUUUUUAAUUAAAGCAGAACAUCUUAUUAAGGAGAAGAAAAGCUGGUGCUUUUUAGAAUCUUGAAGUUUUAUUCUAGGUUCUUAACAAAAUUUUUAUAAUGCACAAAAUUUUAUAAUGCAUAAAAAGAUUACUUGGGAUUUUCCAACAUAUAAAUGAAUGAUAGCAUUUUGUUGCCUACCUUCCAUCUUUUACUUGAAUUAUAACCACUUAAAUGGAUUUUAUAGAUGUUUCCUUGCACAGCUGAGAGUUUUCAGGAGAGGAUCAAAUUGUUUGUGUGGGUGUGGGUGUGGGUGUGGUGCAGGUGUCCUCAGGGGUCAGAGGUAUCAGAUGACCCUGGAGCUGGAGUUAUAGGCAGUUGGGAGCUACCUGAUAUGAGUGCUAGGAAUCAAACUCUGGCCCUUUGUGAGAGCACUAUGCUUUCUUGGCCACCAAGUCAUCUCUACAGUCUCUUUUCUAGUUUAGCUUUUUGAUUGCUUGUUAUUGUCAUUGUUUUGUAAACCUAGAGCUUACUAACAAUAGGCAAAGAGAAAUAAGGAAGUCAGUAGUAGAGUAUUUUAACAGCAAGUGACCUGGUAAUAAAAAUGACUGCAUUUUCUGUUC